rnacentral:rRNA from 1 species
UACAGAGGGGGCAAGCGUUAUCCGGAAUUACUGGGCGUAAAGCGUCUGCAGGCUGGCUUUUAAGUCCUGUGUAAAAGCCCGGGGCCUAACCUCAGUUAGGCAUUGGAAACUAGUAGUCUAGAGAAUGGUAGAGGUGGGCGGAAUACCGAGUGGAGCGGUGAAAUGCGUAGAUAUUGGGAAGAACACCAGUGGCGAAGGCACUUUACUGGGCCAUUACUGACACUCAGAGACGAAAGCUUGGGGAGCAAAUGGG